rnacentral:rRNA from 1 species
GCCUUAGAGUUUGAUCCUGGCUCAGGACGAACGCUGGCGGCACGCUUAACACAUGCAAGUCGAACGAGAGAAGAGAAGCUUGCUUUUCUGAUCUAGUGGCGGACGGGUGAGUAACACGUGAGCAAUCUGCCUUUCAGAGGGGGAUACCGAUUGGAAACGAUCGUUAAUACCGCAUAAUAUAAUUGAACCGCAUGAUUUGAUUAUCAAAGAUUUAUCGCUGAAAGAUGAGCUCGCGUCUGAUUAGCUAGUUGGUAAGGUAACGGCUUACCAAGGCGACGAUCAGUAGCCGGACUGAGAGGUUGAUCGGCCACAUUGGGACUGAGACACGGCCCAGACUCCUACGGGAGGCAGCAGUGGGGAAUAUUGCACAAUGGAGGAAACUCUGAUGCAGCGAUGCCGCGUGAGGGAAGAAGGUUUUAGGAUUGUAAACCUCUGUCUUCAGGGACGAAAAAAGACGGUGCCUGAGGAGGAAGCUCCGGCUAACUACGUGCCAGCAGCCGCGGUAAUACGUAGGGAGCGAGCGUUGUCCGGAAUUACUGGGUGUAAAGGGAGCGUAGGCGGGAUCGCAAGUCAGAUGUGAAAACUAUGGGCUUAACCCAUAAACUGCAUUUGAAACUGUGGUUCUUGAGUGAAGUAGAGGUAAGCGGAAUUCCUAGUGUAGCGGUGAAAUGCGUAGAUAUUAGGAGGGACAUCAGUGGCGAAGGCGGCUUACUGGGCUUUAACUGACGCUGAGGCUCGAAAGCGUGGGGAGCAAACAGGAUUAGAUACCCUGGUAGUCCACGCCGUAAACGAUGAUUACUAGGUGUGGGGGGACUGACCCCUUCCGUGCCGCAGCAAACGCAAUAAGUAAUC